UACGGAGGGUGCGAGCGUUGUCCGGAAUCACUGGGCGUAAAGGGCGCGUAGGCGGCUCAUGAAGGCUGUGGUGAAAGUCCGGGGCUCAACCUCGGAUCGGCCGUGGCGACUCGUGGGCUGGAGCACUGUAGAGGCGGGUGGAAUUCCGGGUGUAGCGGUGGAAUGCGCAGAUAUCAGGAGGAACACCAAUAGCGAAGGCAGCUCGCUGGGACGUUACUGACACUGAGGCGCGAAAAGCGUGGGGGAGCGAACAGG
rnacentral:rRNA from 1 species